rnacentral:rRNA from 1 species
UACAGAGGUCCCAAGCGUUGUUCGGAUUCACUGGGCGUAAAGGGUGCGUAGGCGGUGAGGUAAGUCUGACGUGAAAUCUCCGGGCCUAACCCGGAAACUGCGUUGGAUACUAUCUCGCUAGAGGAAUGGAGGGGAGACUGGAAUACUUGGUGUAGCAGUGAAAUGCGUAGAUAUCAAGUGGAACACCAGUGGCGAAGGCGAGUCUCUGGACAUUUCCUGACGCUGAGGUACGAAAGCCAGGGGAGCAAACGGG